rnacentral:rRNA from 1 species
GUCAUCCGCUCGUCUCAAAGAUUAAGCCAUGCAUGUGUAAGUGUAAAUUGUUAAGUUUGGAACUGCGAAUGGCUCAUUAUAUCAGUUAUAGUUUAUUUGGUGAAGUGUACUACUUGGAUAACGGUAGUAAUUCUAGGGCUAAUACAUGAGAAAGUCCUCUGGUGAGGUGUGUUUAUUAGAAUGAAAACCAUAUGCUUCGGCAUGAUAGUGAGUAAUAGUAACCUAUCGUAUCGCAUGCUUAAUGUAGCGAUGAGUCUUUCAAGUUUCUGCCCUAUCAGCUUUCGAUGGUAGUAUAUGGGCCUACCAUGGCAGUAACGGGUAACGAAGAA